ensembl:ncRNA B0495.14 ncRNA
AUAGUUGUUGAUUAGCAGUGCGUUCAGUUUUGCAUAGAGAUGUUAAGCUUGUGACGUCACAUUUUUAAUCUCAUUAAAAUUUGGCAAAACAUUUUUUUGAUUAGACUACGG